AUACGUAGGGGGCGAGCGUUGUCCGGAUUUACUGGGCGUAAAGGGUGAGUAGGCGGUUAUAUAUGUCAGGUGUAAAAAGCUAUGGCUUAACCAUAGUAAGCACUUGAAACUGUAUGACUUGAGUGCAGGAGAGGUAAGCGGAAUUCCUAGUGUAGCGGUGAAAUGCGUAGAUAUUAGGAGGAACACCGGUGGCGAAGGCGGCUUACUGGACUGUAACUGACGCUGAGUCACGAAAGCGUGGGUAGCAAACAGGAUUAGAUACCCUGGUAGUCCACGCCGUAAACGAUGAGUGCUAGGUGUUGGGUAGCAAUGCUCAGUGCCGAAGUAAACACAAUAAGCACUCCGCCUGGGGAGUACGUACGCAAGUAUGAA
rnacentral:rRNA from 1 species